rnacentral:rRNA from 1 species
UGGGGAAUAUUGCACAAUGGGGGAAACCCUGAUGCAGCGACGCCGCGUGAACGAAGAAGGUAUUCGUAUCGUAAAGUUCUGUCCUAUGGGAAGAUAAUGACAGUACCAUAGAAGAAAGCUCCGGCUAAAUACGUGCCAGCAGCCGCGGUAAUACGUAUGGAGCGAGCGUUGUCCGGAAUUAUUGGGCGUAAAGGGUACGCAGGCGGUUUAAUAAGUCGAAUGUUAAGGAUCGGGGCUCAACCCCGCAAAGCAUUGGAAACUGAUAAACUUGAGUAGUGGAGAGGAAAGUGGAAUUCCUAGUGUAGUGGUGAAAUACGUAGAUAUUAGGAGGAAUACCAGUAGCGAAGGCGACUUUCUGGACACAAACUGACGCUGAGGUACGAAAGCGUGGGGAGCAAACAGG